CUGGAGGGUAGUGUUGGGUCCUUAUCAGGUUACAAUGACACUGUAAUGGCCGGUAACUGGAGGGCUGUGUUGGGUCUUUAUCAGGUCUCAAUAACACUGUAAUGGCCGGUAACUGGAGGGCUGUGUUGGGUCUUUAUCAGGUCUCAAUAACACUGUAAUGGCCGGUAACUGGAGGGCUGUGUUGGGUCUUUAUCAGGUUUCAGUAACACUGUAAUGGCCGGUAACUGGAGGGUUGUGUUGGAUCUUUAUCAGGUUUCAGUAACACUGUAAUGGCCGGUAACUGGAGGGUUGUGUUGGGUCUUUAUUAGGUUUCAAUAACACUGUAAUGACCGGUAAUUGGAGGGUUGCGUUGGAUCUUUAUCAGGUCUCAAUAACACUGUAAUGACCGGUAAUUGGAGGGUUGUGUUGGAUCUUUAUCAGGUCUCAAUAACACUGUAAUGGUCGCUGUACUCAUUUGUGAUGGGAUUUGUGAUGGAUGUUUAAUUUUUUUAUUUGUCUAUUGAAGAGUGGAGAUAAUACAUCCCAAAAAUGUUUAUAGAUUUCUGCAGGGAAACCAUCCAGUCUGGGCGAUUGGUUGUUAGGCAUUUGGUUGAGAACCUUAUGGAGUUUUUCUGAUGUUAAUGGUGCAUCAAGGGUAUCUGCUAUUUCAUUGGUUAAUAUGAGUAAGUAUAGAUUAUUUAAAAUGAUUCUAUAU